GCCAUAUCAAACACCAGUUCUCAUCCAAUCACUGAAGUUAAGCAACAUUUAACCUGUUCAGUACCUACAUGGGUGACCGCUCAGGAAUACCAGGUGCUGUAA